rnacentral:rRNA from 1 species
CCGCUGCUGAGUCUUCGGACGAGGUGGGAGUGGUGGAGCCGGUGACCCGAGGGGGUAGUAGGUGAGUGAUGGGGUGACGCAGGAAGGUAGUCCAGCCCGGGUGGUGGUUAUCCCGGGGUAAGGGUGUGGC